rnacentral:rRNA from 1 species
AGUCGAGGGGUAUAUGUCUUCGGAUAUAGAGACCGGCGCACGGGUGCGUAACGCGUAUGCAAUCUACCUUUCACAGAGGGAUAGCCCAGAGAAAUUUGGAUUAAUACCUCAUAGUAUUACGACUCGGCAUCGAGAUGUAAUUAAAGUCACAACGGUGAAAGAUGAGCAUGCGUCCCAUUAGCUAGUUGGUAAGGUAACGGCUUACCAAGGCAACGAUGGGUAGGGGUCCUGAGAGGGAGAUCCCCCACACUGGUACUGAGACACGGACCAGACUCCUACGGGAGGCAGCAGUGAGGAAUAUUGGUCAAUGGACGCAAGUCUGAACCAGCCAUGCCGCGUGCAGGAUGACGGUCCUAUGGAUUGUAAACUGCUUUUGUACGAGAAGAAACAACAUUACGUGUAAUGUCUUGACGGUAUCGUAAGAAUAAGGAUCGGCUAACUCCGUGCCAGCAGCCGCGGUAAUACGGGAGGAUCCAAGCGUUAUCCGGAAUCAUUGGGUUUAAAGGGUCCGU